AUAAAUGUUAUAGAUAUAGGAAGAUGUGGUGUGAGUGCCAAUGAGACAACUCUCCAUACAAAUAACAAUUUAAAAAGUAAACCAUUAUAGGUUAAAGUACGGCCUUCAACACGGAGCCUUGGCUCACACCGAACAACAAGCUAUAAAGGGCCCCCAAAUUACUAGUGUAAAAACAUUCAAACGGGAAAACCAACGGUCUAAUCUAUAUAAACAAAACGAGAAACGAGAAACACGUAUAUAUUACAUAAACAAACGACAAC
rnacentral:lncRNA from 1 species